UAGACGCUACGGACUAAAAUCCGUUGGCUUUUUAGACCGUGAGGGUUCAAGUCCCUCUACCCCCA
rnacentral:tRNA from 4 species